CCCUUAGAUGUUCUGGGCCGCACGCGCGCUACACUGAUGCAUUCAACGAGUUUUUCCUUGGCCGAGAGGCCUGGGCAAUCUUUUAAACGUGCAUCGUGAUAGGGAUAGAUUAUUGCAAUUAUUAAUCUUGAACGAGGAAUUCCUAGUAAACGCAGAUCAUCAAUCUGCAUUGAUUACGUCCCUGCCCUUUGUACACACCGCCCGUCGCUCCUACCGAUUGGGUGUGCUGGUGAAAUGUUCGGAUCGGCCGUUUGUCGCGGUUUCCGCGUCAUGUGGCUGAGAAGUUCAUUAAACCCUCCCACCUAGAGGAAGGAGAAGUCGUAACA
rnacentral:rRNA from 1 species